rnacentral:rRNA from 1 species
UACGAGGGGGGCAAGCGUUGUUCGGAAUUAUUGGGCGUAAAGGGCGCGUAGGCGGUGCGGUAAGUCACCUGUGAAAUCUCUGGGCUCAACUCAGAGUCUGCAGGCGAAACUGCCGUGCUGGAGUAUGGGAGAGGUGCGUGGAAUUCCCGGUGUAGCGGUGAAAUGCGUAGAUAUAGGAAGGAACACCAGUGGCGAAGGCGACCACCUGGACUGAUACUGACACUGAGGUGCGAAAGCGUGGGGAGCAAACAGG